rnacentral:rRNA from 1 species
UAAGCCAUGCGAGUCGAAUGUAGCAAUACAUGGCGAACUGCUCAGUAACACGUGGACAACCUGCCCUUAGGUUGGGUAUAAACCCGGGAAACUGGGUAUAAUACCCGAUAGGUCUCGAUUGCUGGAAUGCAUCGAGAUUUAAAGCUCCGGCGCCUAAGGAUGGGUCUGCGGCCUAUCAGGUAGUAGUGGGUGUAGCGUACCUACUAGCCUACGACGGGUACGGGUUGUGAGAGCAAGAGCCCGGAGAUGGAUUCUGAGACACGAAUCCAGGCCCUACGGGGUGCAGCAGGCGCGAAAACUUUACAAUGCUGGCAACAGCGAUAAGGGAACCUCGAGUGCCAGGUUACAAAUCUGGCUGUCGAGAUGCCUAAAAAGCAUUUCAUAGCAAGGGCCGGGCAAGACCGGUGCCAGCCGCCGCGGUAACACCGGCGGCUCGAGUGGUAACCGUUAUUAUUGGGUCUAAAGGGUCUGUAGCCGGCCGGAUAAGUCUCUUGAGGAAUCUGGCAGCUUAACUGUCAGGCUUUCAGGAGAUACUGUCUGGCUCGAGGCCGGGAGAGGUGAGAGGUACUUCAGGGGUAGGGGUGAAAUCUUGUAAUCCUUGAAGGACCACCAGUGGCGAAGGCGUCUCACCAGAACGGACCUGACGGCAAGGGACGAAAGCUAGGGGCACGAACCGGAUUAGAUACCCGGGUAGUCCUAGCCGUAAACGAUACUCGCUAGGUGUCGGCCACGGUGCGACCGUUGUCGGUGCCGUAGGGAAGCCGUGAAGCGAGCCACCUGGGAAGUACGGCCGCAAGGCUGAAACUUAAAGGAAUUGGCGGGGGAGCACCACAACGGGUGGAGCUUGCGGUUUAAUUGGAUUCAACGCCGGAAAUCUUACCGGGACCGACAGCAAUAUGAAGGCCAGGCUGAAGACUUUGCCGGAUUAGCUGAGAGGUGGUGCAUGGCCGUCGUCAGUUCGUACUGUGAAGCAUCCUGUUAAGUCAGGCAACGAGCGAGACCCA